rnacentral:rRNA from 1 species
CAGCCGCCGCGGGAAUACGUAGGGUGCGAGCGUUAAUCGGAAUUACUGGGCGUAAAGCGUGCGUAGGCGGUUUGUUAAGUCUGCUGUGAAAUCCCCGGGCUCAACCUGGGAAUGGCAGUGGAUACUGGCAAGCUAGAGUGUGUCAGAGGAUGGUGGAAUUCCCGGUGUAGCGGUGAAAUGCGUAGAGAUCGGGAGGAACAUCAGUGGCGAAGGCGGCCAUCUGGGACAACACUGACGCUGAGGCACGAAAGCGUGGGGAGCAGACAGGAUUAGAUACCCGUGUAGUCCCUGUCUCUUAUAC